UACGGGGGGGGCAAGCGUUGUUCGGAAUUACUGGGCGUAAAGGGCUCGUAGGCGGCCAUUUAAGUCAGACGUGAAAGCCCUCGGCUUAACCGGGGAACGGCGUCUGAGACUGGGCGGCUUGAAUCCGGGAGAGGGAUGCGGAAUUCCAGGUGUAGCGGUGAAAUGCGUAGAUAUCUGGAGGAACACCGGUGGCGAAGGCGGCAUCCUGGACCGGUAUUGACGCUGAGGAGCGAAAGCCAGGGGAGCAAACGGG
rnacentral:rRNA from 1 species